rnacentral:rRNA from 1 species
AGAGUUUGAUCCUGGCUCAGAACGAACGCUGGCGGCGUGGAUUAGGCAUGCAAGUCGAACGGAGUUUCUAGCUUUUCCGGAAACUCAGUGGCGUAAGGGUGAGUAACACGUGGGUAACCUGCCCUCGAGAUCGGGAUAACUUGUCGAAAGACGGGCUAAUACCGGAUACGUUCCGUCAUUACUUAUGACGGUGGAAAGAUGGGGAUCCGUAAGGACCUAUCGCUCUUGGAGGGGCCCGCGGCCUAUCAGCUAGUUGGUGAGGUAAUGGCCCACCAAGGCUAAGACGGGUAGCUGGUCUGAGAGGAUGGUCAGCCACAUUGGGACUGAGACACUGCUCAGACUCCUACGGGAGGCUGCAGUCGAGAAUCUUUCGCAAUGGGGGAAACCCUGACGAAGCGACGCCGCGUGCAGGAUGAAGGUCUUCGGAUUGUAAACUGCUGUCAGCUGGGAAGAAUAAGU